GCAAGUCGAGCGAGAAAGGUCUUCGGACUGAGUACAGCGGCGGACGGGUGAGUAACGCGUAGGAAUCUACCUGGUAGUGGGGGACAACCUGUGGAAACGCAGGCUAAUACCGCAUACGCCCUACGGGGGAAAGCGGGGGACCUUCGGGCCUCGCGCUAUCAGAUGAGCCUGCGUUAGAUUAGCUUGUUGGUGAGGUAAGAGCUCACCAAGGCGACGAUCUAUAGCUGGUCUGAGAGGAUGAUC
rnacentral:rRNA from 1 species